UACGUAGGGGCGAGCGUUAUCCGGAAUUAUUGGGCGUAAAGGGUUCGCAGGCGGCCUUGUAAGUCAGAUGUGAAAGACAGCGGCUUAACCGUUGUAAGCAUUUGAAACUGCAAGGCUUGAGUACAGGAGAGGAAAGCGGAAUUCCUAGUGUAGCGGUGAAAUGCGUAGAUAUUAGGAGGAACACCAGUGGCGAAGGCGGCUUUCUGGACUGAUACUGACGCUGAGGAACGAAAGCGUGGGGAGCAAACAGGAUUAGAUACCCCGGUAGUCCCUGA
rnacentral:rRNA from 1 species